rnacentral:rRNA from 1 species
UGAUUCCCCCAGUAACGGCGAGUGAACAGGGAAAAGCUCAAAGUUGGAAGCUCCUGGCCCUAGGCUAGGCGCAUUGUAAACUAAAGCUGUAAAGUAGUUCGGUUGGCCUGGUAAAAAAGUUCCCUGGAAUGGGGCGACAUGGAGGGUGAAAUCCCCGUCUUUGGCCAGAGUUCAGCCGUGCGUUUGCUUUGCUGCGAAGAGUCAGGUUGUUUGGGAAUGCAGCCUAAAAUGGGAGGUAGACUUCUCCUAAAGCUAAAUAUUGACGAAAGACCGAUAGCGAACAAGUACCGUGAGGGAAAGAUGAAAAGCACUUUGAAAAGAGGGUCAAAAAGUACGUGAAAUUGCUGAAAGGGAACCGUAUGAAAUCAGCCUGAUGUGUGGGUAAUCAGCCUGGGCUUUGGCCUGGGUGCACUUGCCCAUGUAUUAGCCUGCGACAGUUUGACCUGGGGGAAAAAAGAUGGGGGAAUGUGGCCUCGGCUUCGGUCGAGGUGUUAUAGCCCCUGUCAAAAUACCUUGGGUUGGACUGAGGACUGCAGCGAGCCGUAAGGCAUGGGUCUCGGGCGCUCUGUCUCGGCGAAAAGUGAAUCUCUGCUUCGGGUGGUGCGCUUUUCUUCAGGGCAGACUCGCCUGUUUCUUCUUUCUCUCGCUUAGGUCGUAGGCAUAAUGAUUUUAUAUGACCCGUCUUGAAACACGGACCAAGGAGUCCACCAUAGUUGCGAGUCUUUGAGUGUAAAAACCCAUGGGCGUAAGGAAACUGACCAAGAUAUGAAGGCCUUUGGCUGGCAAUAUCCUCCGGCGAGGACGUUUUAUACUGAAUUGACCGAGAGAAAGCACCUAUGAUGGGACCCGAAAGAUGGUGAACUAUACUUGAAUAGGGUGAAGCCAGAGGAAACUCUGGUGGAAGCUCGUAGCGAUUCUGACGUGCAAAUCGAUCGUCAAAUUUGAGUAUAGGGG